rnacentral:lncRNA from 1 species
CAAAAUCCCUCUUCAUGUAUAUAUGCAACAAUCUAAAAUUACUAUGUUCCCAUGUGUGGCUGCUGAAAUGUUGAAGAUGCAUAUAAUGCUAAGUAUUGUGCAGACUGCUCUCUAGUUUCAUAUUCUACUUUCAGAAAAAUAAGGAACUGAAUGACAUCAGUCAAGAAACUUGCCUUUCAGCAAUGAUGGCUGGUUGCAAUAUCUCAGCAUAUGUUAUAAGGGAAGUCUCAUGACCUCUUGAGUCUGAUAAGCUUUUGGUAAAGCCGCAAAGUAGUGAGCAGGCCGCAGAGGAUAAGACUGUGCUCGGUAAACAGAGCUCAGUAGCAAGCGUGCCUUCUGCCAGUGAAAUACUUCUCCACCAGAUUGUGUUUCAUGUUUUCUUCGGGGUUGCGAAGGUGUGCAAAGAGACAGGAAAGGCCUCACGCCCAGAAACCCCACCGCUAGCGGGACAUGGGGCCAGGUCACGUGCUCUGGAUCCGCAGGCUGAAGCUGCGCUCUGCCUGGCAAUUUGCCUUGCCGUGGUGCUGGGAAGGCAUUAUAUUUCCUGCAAGACUUACCCCGGCCUUGCAAAAUCCUGCUUCCCUCUACUGCAAGUAAUUGCAAGUUGCAAUGAUACAGCACAAGACGUGUGAGGUGCUGCAACUACUGAAAUGAAGCAAUUAUUGCUGUUGGGCAAGAAGAAAAGUUCUGUGAAAGAAUGAAAGUUCAGCAGCAAGAUUCAGUACUCCUGAAUCAUUCUGGAACUGAAGAACAGAAUAAGGUAUAGCUUUUAAAAGGUCCCUGGACAGUUGUGCUUGUAUAAUCAGCUACACAGAAAUAAUCAGGCAACCGGACAAUUUGACAUGCUAGUCAUGACUCCUACGUCAGCCUUUUAGGCUGCCUUUGAUUUGCGGCUGGCCAACCUUCUUAGUGCAGGACAGGAAAAGAUGCUUCUAUGAUGCUGAACCAGAGGCACCAGAAUAUCAGAAAAUUGAUAGUCUGGAGGAAACAUUGGAUGCAAUUCAAUUGAGAAGCUCUGGGAAGUCAUUAUCUAGAAGGACACAGCCAGAUGGUCAUGAAGAAUAGCAAAGGUCCAAGAGUCAGUCCAGCUCUCCACUUAAGCUGGGUAUCUUUUUGUUCAGAAAAACUAAGCAAAACAUUAUUCUUUUAACAAUAAAAUUCAAGCUGUCAUUAUUUGUAAAGUUACG